rnacentral:rRNA from 1 species
UACAGGGGGUGCAAACGUUGCUCGGAAUCAUUGGGCGUAAAGCGCACGUAGGCGGUCUGUUAUGCCGGAUGUGAAAGCCCUUGGCUCAACUAAGGAAGUGCAUCCGAAACUGGCAGGCUGGAGUACUAAAAGAGGGUCGCGGAAUUCCCGGUGUAGAGGUGAAAUUCGUAGAUAUCGAGAGGAACACCGGUGGCGAAGGCGGCCUUCUGGACAGUGACUGACGCUGAGACACGAAAGCGUGGGGAGCAAACAGGG